GGCAAGGUGGCCGAGUGGUUAAGGCGCCAGACUAAGGAACGUGGAUUUCUGUGUAAAUCUGGGCCAAGGCAGGUUCUGCCUCUUGUUCGAGUCCCAUCCUUGUCA